rnacentral:snoRNA from 1 species
AUUCCAUGGUGUGGGCAUUCUAGGGUUUAUUUCUCGAAACGUCCCCAUGCCUCUAUAAUGGUUUCUUCUUUCUCUAGCUAAAAACUGUAGAUUUUUCCUCUUAAGACA